UACGUAGGGGGCUAGCGUUGUCCGGAAUCAUUGGGCGUAAAGCGCGUGUAGGCGGUCCGGUAAGUCCGCUGUGAAAGUCGGGGGCUCAACCCUCGAAUGCCGGUGGAUACUGUCGGGCUAGAGUGCGGAAGAGGCGAGUGGAAUUCCUGGUGUAGCGGUGAAAUGCGCAGAUAUCGGGGAGGAACACCAGUGGCGAAGGCGGCAUCCUGGCCCUGUCCUGACGCUCAGGGGCGAAAGCGUGGGGAGCAAACGGG
rnacentral:rRNA from 1 species